UCCUUUCGGAGAAGACGAAAACAUACAUCACCCGGGGAACAGGAAGUGGAGGAAGGGGAUAUUCACGAUACACUGAACCUCAGAUUUGUGUCGGAGGAGACACAAGGAAGUGUUGAAUGUCUCCUCUGAAGCUGGUGGAGUCCCACUGGCCCCUUCCUCAGCCCAGAGAGUUAGAUCACUAACACGGAGGCGAGACUGUGACUCACGGCUGGCUGAGUUAACCUGGCACCGAGGCCGAUUCAGUAGAGCUUUAAUCACUUCACCGUGGGUUCAACUCAAUGGGUGAACUGGAGUGUGACAAAGGACAUGAACUCUGCGGACACCACAAAUACACAGGGGCAGGUUGCUAAAAUAAUAUUCCAACCACAAAAGGAAGGAACAGCAACACAAACACUGACCUUUGGAGUCAUACACUUGUUGGCCACAAGUGUGUGUGUGUUCGUGUCACUGACAUAACAGUUCCUUGUCACCAAAAGUAGGACUGUUGAGAUUUGUCCGCGUGUUGUUUAACUCGUGGUAUAACGACCAAUCAGAGCGCUCACACAGAACUGAUGCACCACAGAUCAACACUGUGGAGGAAAGUGCACCGACCUGUUCCCACUAACAAUGCAGAUGUAUUUGGGAACUCACUUCACCUGUGACUGUUGGCUUUGUGUGUGUGUGGUUGUGUGUGUGUUGGACGCUGCAGCUAAUUACAACCACGGGAGCUUCACUGCACUACGUCUCGUCGGUUUAUUAGUAAACAGAUCUUGAGUUCAAUAUUCCCUGAUGGAGAUUGAUUGCCAAACUAAAGCCUGGUGGUAUCUCAUGUUAUUACACUUUUAAAAAAUCCCUUGUCUCCUUUCUCUUGCAGGUUUUACGAUGUUAACAACUGCAUUUUAAAUACACUAAACUGUCAAGUGCAUGUCAAUAAAGACUGAAUGGAAA